GAACAGGCUGUGCAGACAGGCUGUGGAGCCUCUUCUGGAGAUAGUCAAGACCCGCUUGGAUGCUUUCCUGUGCAACCUACUGUAGAGCAUUUGCUUUGCUGGGGAGUUUUGGACUUUAUGAUCUCCCAGGGUCCCAUCCAUCCUCCAUGCUGUGAUUGUGUAAGAAGUUCCCUUCUGUUUUAAAUAUACUAAAAUUGACAAAGUGAGUGGAGUUGUAUUAGUGGUUGUUAAAAUAAAAGGUGAGGGAUCCCCACUAGUGAUUCUUUUUCCUCCUUCUCGAGGGGGAAAAUGGAAACAAAUGUGUUCCUAAUUCUCCAGAUUUCUUCUUCUUGAUUAAAAGGACUUUAAAAAGUCAAUAUUUCAGAAUAGCUUAAACUGAGUUAAUAGCAAGCAUGCUGAAAGUUUGCCUGUAGGUAUUUUCUGGCAGAAUUUCAGAACACUUAAAAAGUGGUUCUAAAAGAACCAGGGGAAGGGAAGUCACUAAAUCUUUCUAACUAAAAUUGGCUUAUAUUGAUUUCUUUGCAACUUAAACCAGUAAGUGUAUGUACACAAGGAAGAAGCAGUGUUUGUGGUUUUGCUAAUUCUGUGUAGAGUUGAAAUUCAUUAAGUGACUUGAAUUUGAGUGAGUUGUCUGUUAACCACUUGAGCUUUGUUUUAAAUUUGAGUUAGCAAUGGAAAAAGUAAUUGCAUGCUUGCUGAUUUCUGGUAGUUUUUUCAGUGGCCUGUAACAGCUUUAACUCUACUGUUCUGAUUUCACUUCCCCAAGAGAAGAAAUAAGUGAGCUAUCUGAUCACCACAGUUAUCUGGAAUACUUGCAGGUUAGUGUGUUUGGGAAAUUACAAUACAUUCCUAAAGAUAAAUGUCAUAGAAUUUUGUACUUUCUCCUUUUGUCUAAUGUCUGGGAACCUUGCACUGUGUGUAUGUUGUGACACUGGAAAGACAUGUGAGUUAAAUUGUCAGGAUGUAGUUACAUGUCUUCCUGCUCUUUUUAUUUUUUAACCAACCAGUUUUGGUUUAUUCUUUGUUUUUCUUAUGUGCUUUUGAAAUAUACAUCCUUAAAAAAAAAAAAAGUACUCAUGGAAUGGUACUAUGUGGGAUAUGUGCAAUGACCAUUUUGGGUCAGGUUGCAUGGGAUGGAUUAUAGGAGUAGAGUGAAACUAAACAAGUCUACUUUCACAAACUUUGAGUUAGCACUAUAUAAUUAAAAGUGAGCAUGAGGUCAAGCCCUUCAUUUAGAGUAUAGCAGGUUUCUGCAGGGAAUCUUCUUUUAACAGGGAGAACAAGCUGAGUGAGAGAUUGCUGUUCAGUGGAGAUGAAGGUUGUGAAUCCUCUGGUCUUGUCGUCUUGUCCUUUUGAUGCUCUUACGUGGCCUGAUCCUUUUUCUCUAGUUGAACAUACUAAGAUAGCUUUGCAGAACUUUGGCUUGAAAGCAUUUACAUGACAUAGGCUCCCUUUUAUGAAAUGAGUAUACCUGAAAUAACACUUCAUGUGGUAUUGAUUGUGGAAAAUGGAAUUUAUGAAGAUAGCUUUGUUAAAUCGCUUGGAAAUCUUCCUGUUACUGUCGGAAUGUAGAAUGGGUUCCUGUUUAAGGAAAACAAGACCUCUCUUAAAUAUCUUUUUUUGAAUUCUUGUUCUUGGUUUGUAAUUCAUUAUUUAUGAGUUGGGCCAGGUAUUAAACUUGAGGGGGAGAAGGAAAUUAGUAGUUUCAGGGUCAUGUGACAUGGCUAAUUUCAAGGCUUGCAAUUUAGUUUAAAUUGAAAUCUAAAUACAUUUAAAUAGAUGGGCUGCCAGUUAAUCUUGUAGUCCAGACAUACCAGCCUUCUGAUACUUGCUGUCUGCGUAAAAGCCUUCUCAGUGCUUGAAACCAGCGUAGUGCAAGGCUUGGAUACAGUCCUCACUACUAUAUUAAAUACUGUAUUCAGCAAUUUAGAAAUUGGGUUCUGUAGAAUUAAUAGUUAGUUAAAUUCAGGCCUGCACAUGUUUAGAUGAUCACACUGUGUGGAGGGACAGCGCCUUGCAAGUGAGAAGGAAAGGUGAUGGCUGGGCAGAAUGGCUGCAGAGAGGCUGAAGGCAAGUGGAUGCAAUAGACCUCCAGCUGUGCUCCUGGCACCCAAGGAUUUAGAGGGCCUUUGGGAUCUCCAGGUUACAGUCUGGUGCUCCAGAUACUGUUGAGAUCUUAUGAGCAAUUUCUGGGUAGUAAGGAGAGCGAGUGGAUUGACCUGCUCGGAUCAAGUCCAGUCUGUUCAGACAGUGCGACUUUGUAGGCCCUGAGGUUGUGACAGUGUUUCUCCUAUGGUUUUUGUAGGCACAGCUUAAGCCAUUGAAAUCUAAAUGUGGAUCACUAAAUGUUUCCCCUGCUGUGGUGUAGUUAUUUAUGUAUGGGUGUAUUUACUUAAAAAGGCAAGUGGCCUCUAUAUGUUGGUGCUUGCCACCAGUAGCGCUUUAGACUCAAUGAAAAGGAAACAUGAAGCAAAAUGCUAAGGUGGAUAGUGUUUAUUUUCAAGAAAGUGGUGGUAAUUGAAAGGAGUAGCUCAUCACUAUGAGCAAUGGUUUUCUUAAGAGCCAGGAGGUUUGUAUUGCAAGUACUGUUUAUCCCUGUUGCAGAACUGCAUCCUUUCCUUGUUUAGAAACUUGCCUAAAGACAAGUAGAUGGCACUUUCAAAACAAAGGUGAUUAAAUGAAGAAAUGUUUUCAGCUUAUUUUAGAAAAGAAAUAAUUUUAUUUUUUAUAUUUAAUGUUCACCAAGAAUAUUUCCCUAUUGUAACUUGUGAGUACUUAUUUUAUCUAGUUGAUUUUGGCUUAAAAAUGUAUGUUCAAGUAUAUUAAAAACUAGAAGGGAAAAUAAUUCUGAUGCCUGCUAUCUGAAUAUUCGAGUCUGCUUGUGUGGUGUGAACUAUCAACAUACAGUGUUCUCACUUACAGUCUUAAAUCUAUGGUGAGCUGUUAAAAUAGUUCUAAGUGACCAAGCUUCUUUUAAAAAUAUAUUCUGGUGUGAGUUUAUGCUGAUAAUGAUUGCUUGUUGUCAAUGUUGUUUCUUCCCAUACAGUAAUAAGAAUGCCUUACCUAGAUUUAGCUUGUGAGAUGCAAUAUAUUAAUUUGUUUUUUGCAACUGAAUGUUUUAAAGCAGUCUUGAACUAAAACCUGUCCCAAUAUAUGAACUAAAAUUCUUUAUAUUCUCUCUUAUAUCCCAUUCUUCCUUCUUUUUUUCCAUGUUGGCAGUAUAUGGCUAUAUUCUGUCCUUUGUGACACAGAGUCUUUUCAGUACUUUGUACUCUUUGCUCACGUUUCCUCUCAUUGUCUCCAUACUUGAAUCAUUUUUGUGCUGUACUACUUUGGCAAAUUUCUGCUUCUAUUUUCUAGUCCUGUACUGUUGUCAGUAUAGUAACUUCUAGCACUUUUUCUCUCAUUUAACAAACAAACAAAAAAAAAAAAAAAAACAAAAAAACAAACAAAAAACCCCAAACCAAAAUUGUUUAAUAUAUACUUAACUAUAGUUGUUUUUUAAAUUGAAUUAAAAAUAUUUUUUUCAUAUUAAAAACAAAUAUUCCAGGGAGAUUUCCUCUUACUGAAUGGGGAAUGAUAAUGCUCUUGUAUGUGCUCAUUUACAGUUUAUGACUUGAAUCUUCUGACUUGAAAAGCAUCUUUAAGUUUAGUAAUAGGCGUAUGCAUAGGCCCUUGGUAAAUGUGUUAUUCAUUAUUGCACUUAGUGUGAAUACAACAGAUUUUAACUGGCUCACUUAGUUUGCUAUUCUGGUGUAUGGAAAACUCAUGCAUAGUUAGCCAAGUCUGGUUGGAGUUUGGAAUAUCGAUCUAUGCUUCUUUCUGGCUCUUAAAGAUAGGAGUCUGUUUCAGAGGAAUGUGAACUGAGCUGUUUAACUGGAAAAGGUGGUCUGUCAAGUUGAAGAUGAAUAAGUCUUUUCUCUUUUACCAGAGAGUUAAGUGCAGUGUUCUUCUAGGUAUGCUUCUAGUUGUGCUUUGCUUUUUAGCAUCAGGGAACUAUCACUUUUCUUUCCUCUGCAAGUUAAAAACUUCUUUUAUUUAGUUCAUAAUUACAUAACUUCAGUAAGCAAAGCAGCAAUUAUUAAGCCUUCUUUUUCCUCCAAUAAUGCAUUCUCCCCAUAGUAAUUUUUCUUUUUAUGAUUUCUUUCUUAUAUAUGUGCCUGCUGGAGUACAGGCUUUGUGAGGACUUUCUUUGCUAACCUGGUAAAAAGUAACAAUCUGAUCUUUGAGAUCGUGAUCAUGUAUAGUUGGCGAUAUUUCCGUGCUGUUGAGGUAGUGUGAGGUAGAUUUUGAAUGACUUUUUACUGGACAACUGUUGAAUUGUUUUUGAUCUGGCUUAAAUGUACUUUUGUUUACCUGGAUUACUUUUCAAAGCAAAAUGUAAAAGUUGAAUGUGGAUUAUACAGCCCAGUCAAGUGACUUCCAGAUGAAUUUGUCAUUAUCUGGGUUAUGCAGGCAUGUGAAAAGAUGGUGCACAGUAGCUUUUGAAUUAGACUGUUUCAUGAUGCCAAUAUCCAAAUAUGCUGCUGUUAUUAAGAUACCAAUAUCCCUGCUGGAUGAGGAGACAGCAGGAAUGAGGUUGGGAUGUGUGACAAUGCAGACAUGGUUGCUGUGAGCCUAUGCAUGGCAGCACUGUUACACGUCAGUGCUUUUUGCAAUUAGGUGGAUGGCACGUGCUCCUCAUCCACAGCCUGUGUCCUCCUUUGGGCCUGACAGAAGUGCUGUGAUAGUUCCCUGGGGUUGGAGGGGUCACCAGUUCUUGCUGUCCUUUCUCUUCUGACUCAUGCUGUUAUAGUGGUGUUGAUGUAUAAUCACCCCUAACAUGUGAAAUGAUGUUAAUGCUUAUUGGCUUUGUCUUUACUUAGUUUGUUCAUGCCAAUUCUCAUCUAUAAUACAGCAGGCAUAAAGACAUAAAAAUGCAUAGUGAAUACUAAACAUCUGUACAGUGUGCUUUGAGAACUUCUUUGGUAAGACUUUGAAAUGCAGGCUGGCUAUUUAAAAUACCCACAUUAUCUUACAGUGUUUUAUAAAAUGUGCCUUAAAUAUUUAAAGACAGUGUUGUGCUUUUGCAAAAUAGCUUUAAGUUGUGUUGGUGCAACUCUUAGGUUUGAAAUGUUGUUUGUGCUCCUUUUUGUAGGUAGCAAGCGUGUGUGUGAGAUAAAAAAAAAAAAAGCUGAAAUGAUUAUAUACUAAAAUGUAUGUGAUUAUACCUUGAAUAUGUAGCAUGUUGAGCACAUUUCCUGUUGACGAUGACUUGAAUUUGAAUGCCUUCCACAGUAUUUUUUUUUUUUUUUUCAAAUUAGCCAUUAGGGUUAUGGAUCAUUAUCGAAUGGAUAGUGUAUUAAUGGACUUCCUACCCUAAUUACGAAAAUGAGUGCCUCACAAAUGCAGUAGUCAAUCAAUAAAUGAAUGGGUGUGCUGGCUUGAACUCGUCUUUGCCACUGGGCUGCCCCAGCUGCUUAAACUGAGAUACUCUUUGCACCUAUCUUAUGAAUUUUAGCCACACCACAAUGAUAUGUAGCGAUACCAGUUGUUAAUAUAUUUUUUCAAUUAAAUCAGUAUGAUUUUUCAGGUGUUACUAUUGUUCUUUUAAAAUUCUAUUCAUGAUAGACUGUGAGUUGGCUAUAUGUGCGCUUGUAAUAAUUUUGAUGGUUACAUAUAAAAGCACAGGCUCCUUUCUGUGUCCUUUGGGGUUCUUGCUUUAAUACAUACAGGUUCCUGAAUGCUUUUUUGGCUCUUGUUGUAGUUGUUAUGUUGCAUUUGUGUAAAAUCCUUACUUUAAAUUUGCUAAAGAUUCACCACCUUGCAGUAAAGGAUUGUUUAUAUCAAGCUGCCAGCUGCAGCGUAGUUAAGAUAUUUAAGCUAUUUUCUUGAAACCAAUCAGAAGAUGCAUGGUGGAAGCAGUAGUGAUGAGAUCAGGGCUAUUGUUUCAGAAAUGGAAUAGAACUGAAAACCUUAGGAUGUGGUUUUGCUGUCAGUCAUCUUUUCUGUUGCUUUUAUUUUAGCAAACUUAGUGGUCAGCUGCUUUUGCUUUUGAUAUGAACAGCUCUUGCCACUGUGGGAUUUGGUCUUUUCUCCCAAAAGCAAUGGCUUGCAAAACCUCUUAUUUUGUACAUUCUUUAAAAAAUUUUACUGCAUUGGGAGACCACAGAAUAAUAAAUAGUAGCUUAUUUACAACACACUUGUUUUUCUUUACUGUUUUGCUGCCAUUGGUAGUCCAUAAACAAGGCUGGAAUCUUUAAUCUUCUUGGAUAUGGAACCAGGAAAGUAGAUGUUUACUGUGAAGGACUCAAAAUUCAACAUGAGUCUUACUAUUAUGGCUUGUAAAGAGCAAAAAGUGUGUUGCUCAAGCAUUCUGUGCCAUUUUGGAUUUUGCAUGAAAAAUUGUUUUUUAUUUCUGAAUGCCUUUGGUGCAUCCCAGGCUGGAUCAUUGCCUGUAGGGAGCCUAUUCAGCUUACUAGCCUUUUGACUGUAAAAUCCCAGAAUUCUGAACUGAAGAAAUGCGUCCGUUUUAAGUUGAAAUCACUCAGUGAUUAUAACACUGUGAAUGUAAUAAACUUGUUGGUGAUAGUACUUGUUAGUACUAGUAAAGCGUUGUUUUCAUCUGAGUCCUCACAGCUGAAUACAAUACUUGGUUAUACUGAAUACUUGGUUAUACAAGUAGCUGAAGAGGGUGGGGAUUAUGGUAGAUGUGUAAAAUACUGGAUACUUGUUUUCUGUCGUUUGUUUGUUGGUUUUGUUUGUUCCUUUGUCAUUACUAGGAAUUUGAAUAAUUGCUAGGAGUUGCAGAAGAACGGAACCAACAACCGACCCCCAGCAAGUUCGGGUCAAACUGACUUGAAAGAAGAUUGUCAGCUGUGUGAAAAUCAGGAUCUAAAAUGACUCAGUAAGGCAGUAUAGUCCUAGCUUUCAGAAGACAUCCAUUUUCUUCAAAAUGUGUUGAAUAGCUUCUUAAUGUUAUAGGCUGUAACCCAGCCUGUGCUGCAACAUGUAAGCCCUCUUUGCUUACUUUGGCCAGUUUAUCAAAGAGCUGAUGGGAUGUGGUUCUUCCAACAUAGCUUCCAGUCAAUUAUUUUUGAAGUCUUCAAGACAGCCAAUAUCAAGAGAUACAGAUAAGAGUGUAGGCUUUGCAGAAAUGUUAAUGGCUGAUAGGAGCGCAUCUAUAGUCCUUUAGCAACCUGUCUCCUUGAACCACUGCAGUCCCUAGCAACUAGGAAGGGAGGAAUGACCUUCAUCAUUUUAAUACGUGUUUGUUACUCAAGUUUUUAUGUUUGACUUUCUAGCCAAUCUUUUGAAGCUAGAACAAGUAGGCAUGCUGUUGUUUAAAAAACAAGCUUCAAAGGCUGAGUUGAUUUCAAAAUUGUUUUCUGUGAUUGGAUUUUCAUGUGCUUUGAGUCUUUGAGUCUUUUCUUUAAACAAAUAAAACAAAUAAAAAUGGCUCAGCUAUAGCUACUGGAAACAUACAUCAACAACACCUUGACUUUUUUAUUUUUAAUUUUUUUUCCAAGGAAGAUAUUAAUGUCUAAAUAUUUAUUCUGAGGGUGCCUUACAGAACAUGGUUAUCUACUAAUAGUACUGGAGACAGUAAUUGAUAGCUAAGCUGUAUCUUUGUAUUCUGAUAUAAACUUUGGCUUUAUCUUUUCUCAUGAACCUAUUUAAAAUGCAUGUUAAUUUUACAGAACAAAGUGGAUGUAUAUAGCUCUACGCUCUCAAAAAUGUGAAAUAAAAGUCAAUUUUUAUUUCUAUUUUUUGUAGCUGUGUAUAUGAAACAAGCAUACUUGCACUGAGCAGUGGAAACUGUUGUAAAAACUAUUCAUUUGUUUGGAAAUUUGUUCAGGAAAAUAUGUAGUAAAUCAGACUCUUGUGCUUCAUGUAAGCAGAAAAAUAACAUUCCCAUGAUUUGAAACAUUGAUAUAAAGUUGAAAAAAAUUUAAGCAUAUAUGUAAAGCAGGCAGGUUUAUUGAGGGGGAAAAAUAAGUAUGGAAGGAGGUUAACUUUUGAUGUGAAAUACCAAGAAAGAUGCCAGGAUGAGACAGUUUGGCAGGGCUGUAGUAAAAAUCUAUUAUCAUUCCAGGUGAGCAUUUCCAUUUGUGAGCCUUUUAGCAUGGCUGAUGACUUCUACAGAAAUGAAAGUUCCUCAGAUUCUAGGCAUGUAUUAUAGGCAAUGCAGUUGUAUAAUCAUUUAAUUGUCUUCUCUAUCUGGUUUUGGAAAUAGUCUGUGUGAGAUAAGGUAGUCUCAUAUGCCAACAGCAAUAGACCAGAUGUUAAAAAACCCAAAGUGUGCACAGCUAUAUUCUAAAGACUUGGCAUGCUAAAGUGAUUAUCAUUUUAGACUGUUAUUUAACCUCUGUGGGUUACCUCUUACAGUCUUUCUUUCAUGGCUUAAUCUGAAUCUUUAUCUGAAUCUUUCACUUACAUGAAAUAUCUUCAGUUUACUCACAGAUGGAAAUGGCAGGGGAGAUCUCAUUAAGCCAAGAAGCUUGGAGCAGCCUAGUGGAAGGAAAUGUAAUUAUAUAUUUGGGAAGAUUUAGUCACAUUCUGUAACUAUGAAGACAUGGCAGAACUUUAUUAUAGGUUCUUAGAUGCUGUGGUUCUAGAAAAAAUAGCUAAGAAAUACUAGAAUUACUGUGGAAAGACAGUGUUUUUUUUGGUUGUUUGUUUGUUUCCAACAGGGAAUUAUUAAUCUUUGAAUCAAAUUCUUUCAUGUAAAGAGCUGUUAAUCGUGUAUCCUAUUCCCCUAGCCUUUGGAGAGAAUAAAUGGUUAUUUUGAUGUGUGAAAGCUAGUCUUCCUUUUUCUUUUUCUUUUUUCUUUCUUUUCUUUUUUCUUUUUAUGAAUUAAAAUCUCUUUAGGGAUCUUUGGUACAGUUUUAUUUAUUUGAUGCUUAAUCUAUUAUGGUGAGAUGUAUAUUUAUUCAUUACAAUUUCAUCAGUGUUUCUCUCUGUUUUCCUGAAGUGUACUAGAAGGUCUAGAUUUGAGAAUCUCUGUCUGAUACCAGUAGAAGCAACUUGAACUUCACUACUUGAUUUCUUCCCAGAGCAUUUAAAAUGGAUUAUUUUGCCUUUGGGGCUGUACACAUUGAAUAUUUUCUUACCAGUCUGAAAACUGGUUGGAGCAGUACUGUAUCAUUUGUGCUCCUUUUUUUUUUUUUAAAUUGUACAGGUUUGUCUGACCUGUUUACUAUUGAAAUAGUUCAGUAAAAUGCCCCCAGACUGUACUGUUAAUACUCUGCUUACUGCUCUCCAUACUCUGUAGGAAUUUCUUGUUCUUCAAAGGCUGUUCAUAUAUAACUCUACGAUUAAAAUCACUUUGCGUUUAUUUCUUCUUUUUUCAGUCUAGUAUGUUGUUGUCAAGCAUGCCUUUUUAAAGGUCAAAAUGAAUUGCAGGUGUGAGCACAGUUUUCGGAAAGGGAAUUUGGAAAAUGUAUGUACAAGGUGUUUAUUUGAUGUAUUUAUCUGCUACUAAAUUUAGUUCUAGUUGAUUUCAAUUGUGUGCAAAUUUAGGUCAGAUCUGAAAAAAAUGUUCUGAUAAAAGGUUUAUUCAUAAAUCUGGUGCUUAACUGAUAACAAAGUAUUCCGGAUGGGAGGUCAGGGUUCACUUACCUCCACUGUUGUUAUCGCUAAUUUAGAGAUGGCUGUUUUUCUGUGUUACGUUGGCCCUCUGCUGUGGUGAGACUCAUGUCUUUGAAGUGAUAGACUGCUUAAGAAUGUUCCGUGACUUUGAGGAGAAUGUUUUUAGGUUUUUGUGCCUUCUGCUAGAAGGGAAAGAACGGCUAUCUUGUCUCCAUGGUUUAGAAGCAUCACGGUUUUCUGGGUUGUUUGUUUGUUUGUUUGUUUGUUUUUCUUCUCAGCUCUUUCACUAUUACAAAGAAAGCCCUCAAUCACAAUGACUGGAAACUUUUUUGUCUAGGCUCUGAUACAAAAUGAUUGUUUACUGGCUUUAUGGUUUCAUAUUAGGCACUUGAUGCUCUAUUUUGCUAGGAGUGUUUAACAUACUGUGUACCAGCAGCUUUAUUUUCUAGUGAGACGUUACAGCCAUUUUUCAGAAUUGCUGAUAGCUCUCAGGUGCCUUUUGUUCUAUGUGGUUAGUACUGGGUAUCCCCAUACAGUAUUUUGCUGCAAACCCAAAAAGGCAUGCACUGAGCCUGAGGGACAUCAAGUCAGCUCAUCCAGGAGCCGUAGUGGAGUGAACUCCAGUGCCCAAAUGGUGCAUUUGAUGGGCCUGGCAAAUGGCUGCCUUGCCGUAAAGCAUUGUAGCUGCACAUGCAGCACGGCCUAGGGGGUGAACCCUCAGCAGAGGUCAGAGGGAUCUAACUAUGGCCUAGACAAGUUGCUAACGAGAGCCUCAUUCUUAAAAAACAGUUCAUUUUCAGAGUAUCGCUUGGAAUGCAGUCAGUAAAAUGCUUAAGUGGCAACGGGAAGAUAGUUUCUUGUGUUAGAAAAGACAAUCUUUUCAGUUUUUAUUUGUUAUAAUAACUAGAUAAUAGCUAAUAAUAUAAUAACUAGACUCAUUGUUCUGUGCUCCAUUGACCAAAUUCUAGGCUCAUAAACCAAAAUGGCAGAGCUCCUUGAACAGUCUUUCAUAAAAUACUGGUUGGCAAAGAGAAAAUAUUAGUCAGUACGUAACAAGUUGCAGCUAUUGUUCUUGUCUUGGACUCUUUUAUUCUUGUGGCUUUUAGAUUUUUUUUUAGAGGUAGAAUUCUAUUUUUUUUUCUGACAAAUUUUCAAUCCCCAGCCCUAAAAAGCCAAUAAAAAACUUAAAAUGGCACUUUCCUAAAUUAAAAAGUUUUUAAACUUUUACAGUUCAAAAAGUAUUAAGGUGGUGAUGUUGAGAUAUUGAAUUUGCUUUUCAUCACGUGACAGAGCACAAAAAUUUCUUCUGAAGUGAAGAGAUGAAUAUCAAUAAAAGCUUUUGUAGUUCGCAGAAGAUCUUGUGUAGGUAAGAUCUCAUUUGUCAAAUGUGACAAAUCUUUAUUGCUUGUGGCUAUUUAAUAGCAGUAGGUCAUGUAUCUUUUACAUUUUGGUUGAAUCUAUACUGUCCUUUUAAUCAAGAGCUAAUGCCAGCUGCUAAUAUCCUCUGGAAUGAGAAAUGACUGUUCUGGAUGCAUGUUUAAUUUGCAGGACAAAAUAAAUGCACAUAUUCUCUUGUACCUUUGUUUCUCAUUCACUUUUUAUGGAGUGAAUUAUAAAAAGAAAAUUAUUAUUCUUAGCAAAUAGACUGAUGAGAUGAAAGAUAAUUACAAAUGCUACACUUGAAAGAAAAAGUCAGACUACAGAAAUCUUUAAGAGGUAGAUGUUUGCUUUCAGAGCUCUGGUCCCUGGAUGACUUGCAUAUAAUGGAAGAGAUUCUGAAACUGUAAUAAAAAAUGAUGGUUAUCUCCUGUUACUUCUAAAUUUUUGUUUUCUUUCUCUACUUGGUAAGGAAGAAAGAUUUUGGGGAGAAAGAGUGUUGGGUAAAUUGAGUUUGAAUCCCUUAAUGACAGUUUAAUUAUUUUGAUUUACCUCCUAGGAACGUGGAUUGUAAAGAAGUUGAUUAUACUGAUGUUUAUAUAUGUAGAGGAAACUUCACAUUCUCAGUUUCUUUUGGGAAGUCUUGCACCAUGAUAGCUGAACAUCCCAAGCUUCUAGAAUAUCUAUUAGUUUUAUAAGCUUCUAUACAAGCAAAAAUAACGAAAGCGGACCUGAUUUUUUUGGUACCAAUUCAAAGCAGACUGUCUGCUGCUCUUUUCUCAGCUAACAAAUUGUGAAACUGUCAUAAAUGACUGAUGCAUAGCUGAAAGCAUGGCAGUGACCAUCAUCACUGGAAAUUUUAUGUUCUUGAUGCACCAGAAAAACUGAUUAGUAAUAGCAGUGGCCCAAGAAGUAUCUGCUACAACAGUUGAAGGCAGCGAACCUUAUCACGUUUCAUUGGUUCAGAGAUGAGGAGUGUGACAAGCCUCAGAUUGUUUAUGAAUUGUUAAUCCAUCCUGUCCUAUGGUUUCCUUAGAAAGCAGGCUUUGUGUACCUAUCUCUUGGGAGAGAUUUUGAAAACAAAUGAGCCUGUAAGAAUAACUUUCAUUUUAAGCACGGUGCUGUGUUAUUGAGGAGUGACAACUUAUGGUACAUAUAGUACUAAUAAAACCUGGGAUUGUUUUAGUUUUCACUGUACUUGAGUUUGAUGAAAAAUACAAUGGAAUGGAAGGAAUUGGAAGGGAGUACUUCAAACAAGAUAGGUGAAAUUUUCCAGGCCUUUUACAGUGAAGCCCAAAUAAGAGUGUAUUGCCAUAUCACACUGAGGCAGUAGCUGCUCCAGUUUGAUCCCCAGCCCUCUGAGUAGCAGAGCCAAAGGAGUGAAGCUGAGCAGGGGCAUCUACCAAGGUUGUGAAAAGUGCCUUAUUGUCAGAGCUCCUAGGUAUGUUGUAUCUUUUUGAGUAUAUUAGUGUACUUUAUAAUACUUUUAUUAAUUCUAAUAGCAAAUAUUUGGUUAACGGAAGAAAUGCAGACAUUUCACACCUAUUUGAUCUCUUGUUUAUAUUAGCGUGAUAAUUUAAGUAUUUUUUUUUUCUGCUGAAUACUACUUGAAGACUUUGUGUAAAUUAGUUGGCUUAAACUUGACUGAAGCUGUUUAUUACUUUUGUAAUUGGUAUAUUUUGGUAAUGAAUGAUUUGAGAGUUGCUUCUUAAAUUGGAAGUUUGACAUUGUAACUUGAUAAUUGGUCGUGAAGUCAUUAGCAACAGUGAUAACUGCAAAAUAUUUUUUUAAUACAAAUUUUUAAUAUUUGUCUCUGUUGACAAUUUAUAUAAAAACAAAUUCUGUAUUGUCUUAUCUAUUUUGCUUAGAAAAAAACAACAAUCAUAAACUAAUGUAACAUCUAAUGCACUUUCACUAUUUCUCUUUCAUAUUAAAGAAUUCAUUUUUAAUUUCCCUUCAUUUCCUUUUUUUUUUUUUUUUCCAUUUCUUGUAUUAAUUGAAAUGCUUUUGAAGAAGGAGAGCCCUCCCCCUCCUACUCAUUCCCUUCUAUUUUUGUCAGCUUGGGUUGAAGAAGGUUGCUGCAUUAGAAACAUUAGCAUAUGUCAAUAGCCCCUGUACACGUAACAUCUCAACUCAAAGAAAAUCUCCAAAAGUUCUUGGAAAUUUAACGUCAAUCUGGACAUACUCCUAUUGUGAGUAUUUAGUCCUGAGUAACAGCUAGACCUUAUUUGACAUUGCUUUUUUCACAGCUUCUCUGAAAGUAAUGCCUCUUAUUUUGUUAUGUUAGCCCACAACAUCAGAGGCAGAUGAUGGUGGUAUGACAGUAGAGGUUGAACCUUCCCACCAACCAUAUUUCGUUGCCUUGUGACAAAUGGCAGCAAAGGGGCAGUCUGACAUGGAAGUGCGUAAGAUGUAAAGGUGUCACUGAGUUCCUCCAUGUAGAAAGAAUGGUACCCAUUGACAUUCAUUAAUGCUUGCUGAAUGUUUAUGGAGACCAAACAGUGAACGUGAGCACAGUGAGGCAGUGGGUCAUUUUGUCAUAUGUGACAGUGGAUCACUUCUCCUGGUGCAGAUUUUUAUGAGUGUGGCUUGCAGACUCUUAUUUAUUGCUGGAAAAAAUGCAUAGGUAAUGAUUGUGUCUAUGCUGAAAAAUAGUAUUUUGUAGUUGAGAAUUUGCUUGAUCAAAUAGUGUUAUUGUUCUCUUUGUAUCUCUUGUAGCUUCACUGGAAAUAGUUAAGAGGUAUUACUUUCAGAGUGACCUAUGUACGUCUUACAACUAACGAUGAUGAGUGAAGUCUAUGGCAGAACUCCCACCUAAAGGAAAAUUGUAUUAUUCAUCUUAUUGCUCUUCUUCAACUGGUGCUUUCUCCUUGAGUUCUUUGAAUCAGCAGCAAUGUUCAGUAGUCCCUCCUACAGGCAAAGUCAAAUAUUUGUCCAAAAUUAUGAUGACUCUUUCCUUUCAGUUACAUAUUACAGUGCUGAUAUUUGCAUCUUGUAGAGAUAUAGUAUAAUUUACUUUUUAUUAUGAAAUAAUGUUGUGUAAUGGCAGCUGCUGUAAGGUCUAAAGCAAAGGUAUUCCUGGGGUUACUUCAGAAUGUGACCAGUGAUGUGUUGAUUCUCUGAGUUUUGGAACUGAGUAAGGUGACAGUUUUGGGGGCUACAAAAUCACUGUCCAGAUGAAAUAAUUUAUCUGCUAGUUAUGAUGAUUUUAUCUGCAGUCCCUAAAUGUUAGGCUCUUUAAUAGAUUUAUGUUUUUAAUAGUUUUUUUCUUUCUAGAUUUCAGGUAUUUAUCUUAUAUUAUCUUUUUUUUAAUACUUAGAAGUGUUUAAUAUCUUAGAAGUAAAAAGUGUAAAUUGACUAUAACUUUUUAAACUGCAACUGGUGGCUUGAAUAGAAAAAAUAUUUUCUUUUCCUGAGAAUCAGAACAGUAUUAGCUGCUGAACACCAUUUUGAGAGUUUAAAUGCAUAAAACAAGUAAGUCCUUCUGUCUUCUACUCUUCAGGGUCUACAGCUACAAAUAUAAAUUAUCUCUUCAGAGAAAGAAAGAUGCAACUGAAGCAAUUAGUCUAGCUAGCAUAUGAAUCAGUAGCAGGAGAUUUAAAGGUGACCUGAAAAUGUUGAUUGAAUAAACAUAAUCCUAAUUCACUUACAGCUGUGUAAUUUAAAACUCAAAUUAGAUCCUCCUGUGCUUACUUUCUUAAAUUGGAAUUGUGAGUUUCUGUUUUGUUAGACAUAAAACUAGCAAAGUAAAUGACUGUAUCAAGGGAUAAAGAUGUCCAGUUGUUCCUGAGGGCAAAACUAAACUAAACACAAAACUUUGAACCCUCAUCACAGUAGCAUUGAUACUUAAAAUCAAAACUAUUUGAUCUAAGGAAAAAAGUCUGUAGCUUUUCCUCUUUUUUUUUUUAAUUAUGUUAACUGUUUCUAAUUGUCUUUCAGUAUUUUUAUGAAGUAUGAUUGGUUUUGGUGAUGUAGAAUUAAUAUAAACGUCUAAUUUCCUCUGUGCUACAUCCAAAUGCAAUGAUGAUGGGGAUUGCCCCACAUUUUUAAUUUAUUUUUUUUUUUGUAGAACCCACUGUAUCUUAGUAUUGCUAUUCCUACCACUACAAAGUAUUGUUGAGGAUUAGAUGGGAUCCUAACUUUCAUCAGUUUUCUUUGUUGUUUGACUGGAUGUCAGUUAAGAUUCUCAUUGUUUUUUAGUAUUAUUAAUUGCAUAACCGUAGUGUGAUAGUCACUAGUCUUGGAAAUAUUUGUCUUACCUAACAUCGUUUACAAAGUAUGAUGAUGGCUUGUGAUUUUCUUUUUUUUUUUCUUUUCCAAACUGAAUGCUAGAAGAGCUAAAAUAUUCUCUGUUAGUUAGUUCUCUUCAUUUUUUGUUCCUUGUCAAUUAACAUAUACAGGCUUUUUAUAUUUCUAGCAUUUUUUCUUAUGGAAUAUUAUAUUUUCCUGAUUAAUGCUUUAAAUACAGUAGUACUGAAUUGCAGUAUAUGAACGAGGAGAGGAUAGCAGUGUAUUUCUGGUAAGCAAGUUUCAAAUUUCAUUACUACUGUUGCUGAAACCAACUUGUAGCAAUUCUGGAAAUUAAAUUUCUUGUGUUAGCUUGUGACCUCUGAUUUGAAACCUGUCCACUGGGAGGCUGCUGCUUGCUGGAACUGCAUGCAGAUGUGCCAGCCUUUCUUUACAGCUGGAAUCCAACCGGGACCAGCGCUUCCUCCCUGCAGCUAGGGUACAUCUGACAGUCACAUAAAUGGUUGAGGGACAUAUUGAGAUAGUAAGGAAGAGAAGAACCUGGUUGCUGAGUGCUAUUUUAAUUCUCUUCAAGUGUGUCCCAUCAUUUCUUCCAGUGAGUUAUCUCUGAUAAACAGCAGUGUGACAAAGCUGUUGGUGAGAAAAAUGUGAGGUUGAUACCAAUACAGAUCUAGGUACAGUAAGUCAGAUGAGCUUUCAAUCUUUGCAACUAUUUUUGCAAAUAUGUGUUCAAAGUGAACAAAUGGCAGAGCAGUAUGACUCAGCAAUGGCAGCUGGAGUAGAGUUGCCAUCUGUAGUCUGAAAUGACGCUCACAGUAAUGUGGAGUUGCAUGACAGCUAGCUGCAUGUAGGGUAGGUGGGUCCGGAGUGAUACAUGAUAUUCAGGCUAUGGAGUAGCAGUGCUCAAGAGCAGAUGUCCAGAGAAUAUGAGUGAUCCCUGAGCAGACCCAAUAUUGCUGGUGUGUGGACUAUUAUCA
rnacentral:lncRNA from 1 species